rfam:Populus trichocarpa scaffold_10_contig_225, whole genome shotgun sequence.
UUGAUAAGAGUUUGUCAGCUAGCCAAGGUGCUUGCCCAAAACCAAAUGGAAGGUGCCCAGUAAUAUAUUGGACCCAACUAAGAUGGUGGUGGGCAAGUCGUCCUUGGCUACCAAACAAGCUCUUAUCU